ACCAGAAUGAUGGAAUUGGUAGACAUGCUAGGUUUAGGUUCUAGUUCUUAAACGAGUGAGGGUUCAAGUCCCUCUUUUGGUA
rnacentral:tRNA from 1 species